rnacentral:rRNA from 1 species
AUUGAACGUUGGCGGCAGGCCUAACACAUGCAAGUCGAGCGGUUGACGGGAGCUUGCUCCCUGAUUCAGCGGCGGACGGGUGAGUAAUGCCUAGGAAUCUGCCUAUUAGUGGGGGACAACGUUUCGAAAGGGACGCUAAUACCGCAUACGUCCUACGGGAGAAAGCAGGGGACCUUCGGGCCUUGCGCUAAUAGAUGAGCCUAGGUCGGAUUAGCUUGUUGGUGAGGUAAUGGCUCACAAAGGCGACGAUCCUUAACUGGUCUGAGAGGAUGAUCAGUCACACUUGAACUGAGACACGGUCCAGCCUCCUACGGGAGGCAGCAGUGGGGAAUAUUGGACAAUGGGCGAAAGCCUGAUCCAGCCAUGCCGCGUGUGUGAAGAAGGUCUUCGGAUUGUAAAGCACUUUAAGUUGGGAGGAGGGGUUGUAGAUUAAUACUCUGCAAUUUUGACGUUACCGACAGAAUAAGCACCGGCUAACUCUGUGCCAGCCGCCGCCGUAAAAC